AUAUAUUUUUAUUUUUAAAGGUAGAAAAAAAGCAAAAAUUCAGACUUACGGAUUCUGCUCUUGCAUUCUAUAAUUUCAGACUGCAGACCCAGCAAAGAACCAAGAUGCAGCUGGAGGUGGUCGUCCUUCAAUUGGAAUAGCAAAUUCAAUGGGCUUGCCAGCAGGUGGUAUCCAGUGACUGCACUGCCACCAUUAGUGACUGGUUCAUGCCAUCCAACAGUAAUA